CCUACGGGAGGCAGCAGUGGGGAAUAUUGGGCAAUGGGCGCAAGCCUGACCCAGCAACGCCGCGUGAAGGAAGAAGGCUUUCGGGUUGUAAACUUCUUUUAAGGGGGAAGAGCAGAAGACGGUACCCCUUGAAUAAGCCACGGCUAACUACGUGCCAGCAGCCGCGGUAAUACGUAGGUGGCAAGCGUUGUCCGGAUUUACUGGGUGUAAAGGGCGUGCAGCCGGAGAGACAAGUCAGAUGUGAAAUCCACGGGCUCAACCCGUGAACUGCAUUUGAAACUGUUUCCCUUGAGUGUCGGAGAGGUAAUCGGAAUUCCUUGUGUAGCGGUGAAAUGCGUAGAUAUAAGGAAGAACACCAGUGGCGAAGGCGGAUUACUGAACGAUAACUGACGGUGAGGCGCGAAAGCGUGGGGAGCAAACAGGAUUAGAUACCCCUGUAGUC
rnacentral:rRNA from 1 species